rnacentral:rRNA from 1 species
AUUGAGCGCUGGCGGCAUGCCUUACACAUGCAAGUCGAACGGCAGCGGGGGAGAAGCUUGCUUUUCCUGCCGGCGAGUGGCGAACGGGUGAGUAAUACAUCGGAACGUGCCCUGUAGUGGGGGAUAACUAGUCGAAAGAUUAGCUAAUACCGCAUACGACCUGAGGGUGAAAGUGGGGGACCGCAAGGCCUCAUGCUAUAGGAGCGGCCGAUGUCUGAUUAGCUAGUUGGUGGGGUAAAGGCCUACCAAGGCGACGAUCAGUAGCUGGUCUGAGAGGACGAUCAGCCACACUGGGACUGGGACACGGCCCAGACUCCUGCGGGAGGCAGCAGUGGGGAAUUUUGGACAAUGGGCGAAAGCCUGAUCCAGCAAUGCCGCGUGUGUGAAGAAGGCCUUCGGGUUGUAAAGCACUUUUGUCCGGAAAGAAAUGGCUCUGGUUAAUACCUGGGGUCGAUGACGGUACCGGAAGAAUAAGGACCGGCUAACUACGUGCCAGCAGCCGCAGUAA